rnacentral:rRNA from 1 species
CUCGUAGGGUGCGAGCGUUGUCCGGAAUUACUGGGCGUAAAGAGCUCGUAGGUGGUUUGUCGCGUUGUUCGUGAAAACUCACAGCUUAACUGUGGGCGUGCGGGCGAUACGGGCAGACUGGAGUACUGCAGGGGAGACUGGAAUUCCUGGUGUAGCGGUGGAAUGCGCAGAUAUCAGGAGGAACACCGGUGGCGAAGGCGGGUCUCUGGGCAGUAACUGACGCUGAGGAGCGAAAGCGUGGGGAGCGAACAGG